rnacentral:rRNA from 1 species
AUUAAAAACCAAUGCCCUUCGGGGCUCUCUGGUGAUUCAUAAUAACUUCUCGAAUCGCACGGCCUUGCGCCGGCGAUGGUUCAUUCAAAUUUCUGCCCUAUCAACUUUCGACGGCUGGGUCUUGGCCAGCCGUGGUGACAACGGGUAACGGAGGGUUAGGGCUCGACCCCGGAGAAGGAGCCUGAGAAACGGCUACUACAUCCAAGGAAGGCAGCAGGCGCGCAAAUUACCCAAUCCCGACACGGGGAGGUAGUGACAAUAAAUACUGAUACAGGGCUCUUUCGGGUCUUGUAAUUGGAAUGAGUACAAUUUAAAUCCCUUAACGAGGAACAAUUGGAGGGCAAGUCUGGUGCCAGCAGCCGCGGUAAUUCCAGCUCCAAUAGCGUAUAUUAAAGUUGUUGCAGUUAAAAAGCUCGUAGUUGAACUUCGAACCUGGUUGGGUGGUCUGCCUUCACGGUACGUACUGCUUGGCCGGGUUCUACCUCUUGGUGAGCCGGCAUGCCCUUUACUGGGUGUGUU